rnacentral:lncRNA from 1 species
GCUGCUUCCUUAAGUGCCUGGUUGAGAUGAUAGUGAUUGGUAGAUCCACCAGUGUGGUUUCUCCUUUUGGAUUGGUAUGAGUUCUUAGUAAAUGCUACUGUUCUAAAUAUCCCUAACACUACUUCCCUGAGUGCCUGGCUGAGAUGAUUGAGUAGAUCCAGUAGUGUGCUUUCUCCUUCUGACAUUUGUAUGAGUUCUUAAUAAAUCCAUGGUGAUAUGGCUUGCACCUUCUCUACUCAAAUGUCUCACCGUACCUGAUCUCUAUGAGUUUAAUCAAUAUUGAUAUGAGCUGAGUUUUGUUAGACCAAUCAAUAAUGAUAUAAAUCUGACCAUAAAAAUUUCUCCCCAGUACCUGGUGAGAGAUAUAGCCUAUAACCCCUGGGUAGCCUUUUCUGCUUGGCUUCUUCU